rnacentral:rRNA from 1 species
AUUGAACGCUGGCGGCAGGCCUAACACAUGCAAGUCGAGCGGAUGAAGGGAGCUUGCUCCUGGAUUCAGCGGCGGACGGGUGAGUAAUGCCUAGGAAUCUGCCUGGUAGUGGGGGAUAACGUCCGGAAACGGGCGCUAAUACCGCAUACGUCCUGAGGGAGAAAGUGGGGGAUCUUCGGACCUCACGCUAUCAGAUGAGCCUAGGUCGGAUUAGCUAGUUGGUGGGGUAAAGGCCUACCAAGGCGACGAUCCGUAACUGGUCUGAGAGGAUGAUCAGUCACACUGGAACUGAGACACGGUCCAGCCUCCUACGGAGGGCAGCAGUGGGGAAUAUUGGACAAUGGGCGAAAGCCUGAUCCAGCCAUGCCGCGUGUGUGAAGAAGGUCUUCGGAUUGAAAGCACUUUAAGUUGGGAGGAAGGGCAGUAAGUUAAUACCUUGCUGUUUUGACGUUACCAACAGAAUAAGCACCGGCUAACUUCGUG